UAAAUAGUUUAGGCAAAUUUUUUUUCCCUUGUAUCUUCUUACCAGAAUAAGGAAGGUUGGACUGUCUUUGCUUUUGGGGGCUCUUCUUUCUCUCUCUUCCCCGUUCCUCACCUUCUCCAAACUGUGGGCACAACAGCUGUAUUCUCUCCUUCCUGUAGAAGGUGUGCAUUCUACGGGCUGGCUGAUACUUUUGAUGAGAUUUCUGUUUAUUUUCCUGUAAUAUGUAGCAGGCUUGGGGAUUUUGAGAGCAGGGAGAAUAAUAUAUCUAACGCUGAAACUGGUGAGCAUGUAGAUGCUAUAUAGCUUUGUUCUUUGUAAUAGAUAUUCCAGCUAAUGCAUCGUGUGUUAGGAAGUAUCACUAUUUUGAUGUUCCUGUCUUGCAAAAGUUAAUUUGGCAGCUUGGUGAUGGAUUUUAUAGUCUUUGAGCACGUUACAAAGAUUGAGCAGUACAAGUACAAAUAAACAGAUUGUCUAGAAUUCUUAUUCUACCUGCACAGGAGUGUGUGCCAUUCUGGAAAGCCUGCCCCAAUUGAGUAACAAAAGGUUUUGUGUCUUAGACCCUUCGCAGAUGUUACAGUCGAGUGAAGGAACAUGGCGUUGGAAAAAGGAAAAGCAGCUACACAUUUGAACAGUUGGAGCAGGUGUUUGGUCAGGGAGGAUGGGACUCCCAACCCUGCCAGCCUGUGCUCAUUAAUAGUAGUGGCUUGUACCAGGAGCUGGAAUCGGAUGGCAGUACUAUGGAGGAAUAUUCACAGGAGGAUUGGGGGAACCACAGUCAGGAUCUUCACUGCUACCAGGGAGGAGACCCAGAAUUAGAUGAAAUGCCUGCCACAAAAAGAACAUUAAAGAUAAAGCAGGAAUCUUCAGAAGAAUCACAGAAGCAAGACGUCAUGCAGAAUAUUGUGCAAAUCUUGGAAUCCGUCCAGUUAAAAUGGGAGCUGUUUCAGAGCUGGACAGACUUCUCCAGGCUACACCUUUCUAACAAACUAGCCAUUUUUGGGAUUGGUUAUAACACACGCUGGAAGGAGGAUAUUCGGUACCACUACGCAGAGAUCAGUUCCCAGGUGCCUCUUGGGAAGCGGCUUAGGGAAUAUUUCAAUUCGGAGAAGCCAGAGGGCAGGAUCGUUAUGACGAGAGUCCAGAAAAUGAACUGGAAAAAUGUUUACUAUAAAUUCCUAGAGAUUACUAUUAGCGAAGCAAGGUGCCUGGAGCUGCACAUGGAAAUCGACUGGAUACCCAUAGCACAUUCUAAGCCAACCGGAGGAAAUGUUGUUCAGUAUUUAUUACCAGGGGGGAUUCCCAAAAGCCCUGGCCUCUAUGCCAUUGGUUAUGAAGAUUGCCAGGAGAAACCCCACUCACCUCAUGUAGACCGCAUAGGCACAGAUCCUGGGAAAGAGACUCCAGGGGAGGUAGAUGUUCCUUCGCCGCAGGCCUCUCUCAGGGUGGAGAUGGAGUCCACCAGAAUUAUCUAUUGUUACCUUGGCAUUGCUGAGGUUAGAACUCUCCAGCAGUGCUUGUUUUUACACUUUCAGGCCAACACCAAAACCUUCAGCAAAGAGUGGGUUGGGAUUAAUGGAUUUUUAUCACAGAACUGCAUCGUAGAACCAGGGGUGUCACCUAAAUCCAUCUACAUCAAAUUUGUGGAAGUGGAGAGGGAUUUUCUUUCUGCUGGCUCUUUGGUAGAGUGCCUGGAAAAAGCCAUUGGAUACCCAUUAAAGUUUAACAACUGAAUUUCGUCCUUCAUAAGGAUAAGAGUUCCUGCCUCCCUUCCAUGUUGCUAGCAGACACGUACAGAUCCUGUCUGUUCACUGUAGGGCAAGUUAGACUUUCAAAGUGAAAAUGAACUUCAGAAUGAAAGAUGCUUGCAACUGAUUCAAAGCAACUUGUCCUGAGCAAGUAAAAUAUACAGCUAACUUGCUUGGCAGGCCACCUGGUUUUAUAAAGAGAAGAAUGAGAGCCUUGUACAAAUGACUGUAUGCAUACAUCGGGCAUGUGGAAAUCACGUAAACAUGCAUGUGGCCCAGAUGCCGAGCAGCUUUUAGGAGUGGAACUUUUCGCUGCAUCUGACUGACAGAAGAAAAAAUCCCUUGCCUUACUGCAGGGUGGUGUUGCAGCUGGCAGAAGAAGCUGUGGAGUGCCAGAUGUCCCAGAGAUGUAAGGCAGCAGUAGUAGUAUACACUGAAGCACCAGGUAACCAAAGUCCCACCCCAGUAAUCUGAACCCUCAGAUAAGGUGUAUCCACCAUGUUGUCCAGCCACUGAUGUGUUUCCCACACAUGCAGGACUUGCAAAGCUGCAGUUGUGUUGCGGGCAGCUGAGGAUACAAACAGGCAUGUCCUUUCUCCGGUUUGUGGAGGUAGAUUGCUGAGUUCCAAACCCAGAUUUGGAAAUAGACCCGUAUGGACCCCUGCCAUCAUGCAGCUGGCAUGUGUGGGCAUAGCACUGUUGCCAAAUGGGCAAGUCCUCUGGCCACAACAAAUUAUUCACCUAAACUGGGACUCCCAAACUGUGUUGAGGCCAGUGAUUUGCAUAACAUGUGUUUUGGCUAAAGUAUCUUCCAGCAGGGCCACCAGGCUUAACCUGAAGACCUCAAGAGAUGGCAGAUGCACUCUCAACAGUGAAGGUCCAGCAUUUAAUCACCUUUGGUAACUCAAGAACUAGGGGUCACCAAAUGAAAAUAGGCAUCAAUGUUAAAACAGCUAAAAGGAAGUGUUUCUUCACACAGUGAAUUCCCCCAUCAGAACGCAUUGCAAUGAUCUAACCAAGCUGAACCCCUCCCUGCUGCCCCUAUUUCAAAGCACUGCUUGUCCAAGAUUGCUUGCACUGUGAAAACCUGGGCCCUCCUAUGGCCUGGUUGUGUCACUUGUCCGAGUCCCCUGACAAGGCUGAGCCAUGGUGCUCAAGCCCAGAUACCCCAUGGACAAGAAGAGGCAAAGACCAGUGUAAACUCACCAGGAACCUCCUGCCCCCUCCUUCCUCCAUGGUGUUUUUGAAGCACCACAGUGAGGUCAUGCCUGCACAGUGUGCCAGGCAGAUUAGAACAAGCCCCCAACCCUGCUCCCUGGCUCGGGCUCACCUGAAUGGUCCCACAGGCUGGGGGUGGCCUGCAGGCUGUAGUUGCCCCUCUGCCUGCACUAGCUCAAACUCCAUCCCUUCUGCUAAACAGUCCCUCUGCUCCUUGACCAUAGCCCGCUCCUUCCCCAUCCCUGGCGAGCUCAUGACCAGUUCACACUGAUUUAGUUCUUGCGUUGCCUUAUCUCUCCCUCCCCUCCCCCCACACACAUGUGGUGUGGCCCUUAAUCUGUCAACCUCUUCAAUGAAGUUCUGAGACUCAAGGACUCUCAAGUAAAGUGUGGGCGUGGUGCCCAUGUCUAUUCUGCCUAGGGCCUGCCAGCCGCAGUGUUCUUGCUGAUCGCAGCUGUCGGAUUGGCCUGAAGAGUGUGGGAGAAACUAUCACCGUCCAGCCCUUGUCUGUGAGGCCCCUGAGCUGGUGCAGAAUUUGAUAUGGAACCAGAGCAAAGAAAUGGUGUCAUGCUUCCCCCAGCCAGCCAGACCUAGGAGGGUGUUAAAGAGCUGCAGUUUCCUGGUGCCUUUCCCAGCUAAUCGAAGGCCAUUCCUUUGCUGGGGUCCUCACAGAAGAUCAGUCUGCUGAAGGCAGCAUGUUUCUGGCCACUGGGGCUGUAUGAGGAAUGAACUCAAUCCUUCCUGAGGGCACCUUUCUCUGCCAGCCUCCAUAACCAAACUGCCCUCCUCUGCCGGCCAGUGCCCACGAGAAGGCCUGCUGUAGGCACCACAGGAAAGCAUUCAUUCUCUGUGUCAAGUCUGCUACAGGCACCAGACGGCAAGUGCCAAGCAAGGUGCAUCAUCUUCCAAAGGGCUUAUGCAGGUCAAUUACCAGCGGAGGGGGGUGCUUGGCUGUUAGCUUGGUGGCAAUGGGAAAUGGUCCCUGUUCCCAGGAAAGCCCAGCCAGGCAGAUAAACAGAGCCCAGUGUAGUGCCUCUCUGAAUAGCUUGUUUCUGUUUGAGAGAGAGUUUGGAAAGUGUCCGCUGACAGCUCUUGGGUGCUGCAACUUGUGUCCUCACCAGGGUGUUCUGGGUUUGUUUGCGUUGCUCUUUCGACUAGCUACUUACAUACUGUCAUGCUGCAGAAGUGCUUCUGAUCAGGGCGGAGAAAUGUCUGACCCUGUGGCAAUCAGAUCAACAGGCCGAGGUUGGAGGAGGCCAAAGAAUGUAACGUGAGUUGUGCACAGGCAAGCAGCGAGGUGGAGCAAGCUGUUCUGUGCAAAGUAAGCAUUUGCUUUGGGAGUGGAGAAAACCUCAUGUCUUGGAAGUCUGCAGAGAUUCACUCCUGACAUUCUCCCUGCUGGAGAUGCCUGGAACCCCCUGCAAUUCACUUGCUCUGGAUCUGUUGGAUCAAAACCGAAAGGUCCUGACUGCUCUCUAGGGACAGGAAAGAUGCUGUGUCACUUCUUGUAGGUCAGGGUUUGACCUGGUAUCUGUGGCCAGAUUGCCUCCAAUAUCUCUAAACUGCAUCUCGUCCAUUACUCCUCCCUCGCCCCCAAAGCCAGAGGCACGGAGUGCCAGAAGGGCUGCUACAUCUCUGAACUGGGCUGUGUUGGCACGGGGGGGGAUGUUCUGAGCCUGGCCCAUACAUGAGGCCUUACGCAUGGGGGCAAACUGCCAUAACCUUGCACAGCCAUGAGCUGGAAGUGUGGGUGAGUUUAAAGAUGGGUGGGGACUACUUGAACACCACCUAUCAGCUUUUCUUCCUGGCCUCGCUCCUCUCUGAUGCCCUGUUGGCAUGUGAGUUUAACCUACAGCACAUGCUCAGUGAGGCAGAUCCAGUGGUGAUCCGGGGGAGGAUGUAAAGGGUCAGGAGUCUGUUAAUCAUUCUCACCAUCUGGCAUCUCCCUGUGUCAAUGACACCAGCCUAGACUCACUUCUGGCCUUGGCCCUGCAGCUGCAGUGUUACAUUCAGCGCUUCCACAGGGAAGCCGUCUUCCAUCAUACCCCCAGCAAGGGCAUGCUUUUUAAGGGACCUGCCAAAGGAACACAUCUGUCUAGUCAAAACCUCAUUCCGAGCCAAACCAUAACAAACUGAACUUCCUGGCUAGUGGACUUGGUCUUAUAUAGCUCACCAUGUCCAUGGAAACACAUUCUGUCCUCAUACAAGUCUUGCCCUUAAAGUGCCCUUCCGUUUAUUGAAGGGUUGCUAAUACCUGGCUCCAUUCUGUAAGUAUUAUCCACUGAGACUCAUGGAUUCUUUCCUAAUUAAUACAGGUGUGAGCCCGUAUCCUAGAA